UGCAAUUUGGAUAACACAUGCACGAGUUAGGUUUUCAAAGAGCAUCAAAAUAGCACGAAGGAUGAGUUUCCCGGCCAACCGGGCUCCUACUAACAGGUCCGAAGAUAGUUGGUUUGUUCUAGCUUGUGGAAUGGAAUCACCCGGUCUUAUGUAUUAAAUGAGACCUAAGUUAUUUAUCUGCUUGGCUAUAUGUUCGUCGUUCGAACUACUCAAAUUUUAUGUUUUCUCACGUUUAGGACGAAAAUCUGGCAAAGGAUUCUAUGUGUACCCAGAUGGCAAGGGGAAGAAAACGGUAGGAGACUGUGAUUUAUAAAUUUGUAUGACCCUUUGCAUAAUGCGAGUACAAUCCAAAACAAUGAGUGACUGUAUGGCAUGGAGAACAGUGGGAUUUCCAAAACAAUGAAAACACAAUGAAUAUUUAUUUUUUACUAUUGUUCUAGAUAAACAAUGGGGCUAUGGAUAUUCUCAAAAAAUACACCGUGCCAAAGCGAGGCAG